AGUGAACGCUGGCGGUAGGCCUAACACAUGCAAGUCGAACGGCAGCACGGUAAUAGCUUGCUCUUACGGGUGGCGAGUGGCGGACGGGUGAGGAAUACAUCGGACUCUACUUUUUCGUGGGGGAUCACGUAGGGAAACUUACUCUAAUACCGCAUACGACCUACGGGUGAAAGCAUGGGAUCUUCGGACCUUGCGCGAUUGAAUGAGCCGAUGUCGGAUUAGCUAGUUGGCGGGGUAAAGGCCCACCAAGUCGACGAUCCGUAGCUGGUCUGAGAGGAUGAUCAGCCACACUGGAACUGAGACACGGUCCAGACGACUAAGGGAGGCAGCAGUGGGGAAUAUGGGACAAUAGGCGCAAGCCUGAUCCAGCCAUACCGCGUGGGUGAAGAAGGCCUUCGGGUUGUAAAGCCCUUUUGUUGGGAAAGAAAAGCAGCAGGUUAAUACCCAGCUGUUCUGACGGUACCCAAAGAAUAAGCACCGGCUAACUUCGUG
rnacentral:rRNA from 1 species